AUGCAUACAUGUCAACUAUGGCCUAUUGGUGUUGGGUCCAACAAUUCGCAUUGGUCUCAAACCAAUGACAUCCAUUUGGAAGACCAUGAGUUUGAGGUGGACGAGGAGGGUGAGGGCAUUGUCGACGCGCCGAAAGGAAGAGCGGGCAAUUACAGCACCAACGAUGACAAGUUACUAUGCAAUACUUAUUUGCAAGUGUCGAGGGAUCCAUCCAUUGGAGGUGAUCAAAGUAGAGAUGCGUAUUGGGGGCGAAUGAAAUAA
rnacentral:rRNA from 1 species